GCCAGGCACGGUGGCGCACACCUGUAAUCCCAGCAGCUCGGGAGGCUGAGACAGGAGGAUGGCAAGUUCAAGGCCAGCCUCAGCAAUGACCAGGUGCUAAGCAACUCAGUGAGACCCUGUCUCUA
rnacentral:sRNA from 1 species